GCCAGAUACUGUGACUGGUGUGGCUCAAAGCCCGGUCAUGCAGCCAGCUGUGUCAUCUGUUGCCGAUGUGGAGCGAGCGGUCACCCGUACGCCUUCCACUGCGCAGCCUGCGGCGUCUUCCUGAAAGCUCCGCCCACAUCUCACAGUGACAUCACACGGCCUGUAGGGGGCGGAGCCACCAGCCAGACUUCCCAUGAUGCCACCUGGCAGGCCACACCCUCAUCAGACCCUCAGGUGAGACUGACCACGCCCACUGCAGAGCAGACCACGCAGACUGUCGGACUCUAUUACCCAUCAGCCACUGAGCUGGAGAGGAAGGAGCAACACAGAGCGCAACAACACAGCAAGCAGCAGGCAACGAGAGACCGGCAACCGCUACUGACUGCCAUCAGCCCGGGCAGAGGUA